CUGCUGUUCCAACACAGACCAUCACACCACAACUCUGUGCUCUGCCAAAACCACCAGGCUGCACAUCAUUCUGGACUGUGGUGUCAGUGUGCCCCCUCCUGGAGUGUUGCCUCACCUGCAUACUGUUGAACAGAGUACAGAUAGCACUUUCCUCCUCCUCAGCGUUUGUCCGCACUUCACCGACCAUGGCCUUCAGCAAUACGAUGGCCUCUCGCGCUGACGUCUGCAGCUCCUUCACUGCCUACAGGGCAAAUGAGAGGGGGCAAUAGAGGCGAUUUUCACUGGCCCUGCCAUGCAGACAACUGGCACAGAAGAUGUGGUAGCAGUCCAGAAGACAUGGACCCUGAUGCCAAGCAGCUGACUGUGGUGAAGGGGAGGGGAACUGGAUACAAAGGGAGACUGAGGGGGUUGCCAAAGGUAAAACUGAAGAAACCAGAUCCUGUGCACCCUGGCAGGAGGACAGCAAAAAUAAUUCUACUCUUUGUGCAAUGGAAUAUCAAUGGUCUCUUCAGUUACUGUUAUUGUUAAAGAGGUUAAUAUGUUAAUAUUUUCAA